CCCGGCAUUCGGGCCGCUAAGUUGGUGCCUAGAGUGUCCGUCCACGCCCAACCCGUCACUCCGCCACUCCCGCCGCCAAGACAGUGGGUCCCGCAGCCUCUACUCUUCUGGUGUGAGAUGGGACCGGAGGGCGGAGAGUGGACGCGGAAGCUCCUAUCUCGCCAGCCACAAUCGGCACCCAGGGUUCAGGCGGGUUCCUCUUCUGGGGUUGGGCAGCCUCAGAUGCCUGGGGGCCGGGGAGGCGGGGGCUUCAUCUCUGCUUCUGGGCUGCAGAUUCGAGAUUGCCCUAAGCCCUCUGACCUGGCCUGUCCUAGCCUCUGUCUGCCCUUCUUUCUGCCUCUUGUUCGGGCGGUCUGUCUGCUUCCUGUCUCUGGCUCUAUUCCUAUUCUCUGGGUUGCUGCCUCUGGGGACUGCAGCAGCCCAACAGGGCAGCCCGGGGACGCCUCAGGGCACUGCCCGGGGUCCUCCUCCUCAGUGCCCGGGGUCCUCCGGGUCCUCCUCCUGGUCACCUCCACGCAGCGUUGGUCUUCCUGCUGCGGCUGUGGGACGUGGAGGGGCGCCCGGGAGGGAAGACACAGGGCCCAGCAUAUCUGCUCGGGAGCCCCGGGGCCCCUGACCCCCUCUGCCAUUAUUAAGGGCGCCGGGUCCCGAGGCACCGAGAUGAUCAUGAUUGCAUCAGCCAGACAGAAGCGGAGCCGGGAGCUGCGCGGUGAGCGAACGAGUGAGACAAAGACGCCCGCGCCAUCUGUUUAUGCAAAGCGCUCUCCGCCGGGGACCCCGGCGUCCCGGCUCCUGGCCGGGCUUGGGGCAAGGGUCAUAAGCCCAUUCCCACCCGGCGCCCCCACCGCGCCUUGGCUUCCCCUCUCCUCAGCACUCAGAGGGGCCGCGGGGCGAGCGGAACGGAGAGGGGGUGGGGGUGUUGAUGUGAUUGGAGCGGACGCGGCUGUUUCUUCAAUAAUGGAUGGAGAUGAUGCGGACGGCGAAGCCGAGCUGGCCGGGAGAGGAGAGAGGAAUAGAAAUGGGGAAAGGAAGGAGUGGGGGCGGGAGACUCACCCCGGCGCGCGCGCACACACACGCGCGCGCGCACGUGCGUCACACUGUCAUUCGGAUACACGCCGCCGCGCGGCUCACACCCAGGCGCACGCCUACGCACUGUCACCGAGACACACAUACCUGCAGGCGGAGACGCGAUAGCAACACACACUCCCCGCUGGCUCUUCCUGAUUUUCACACAUACACAGACCUGCAGGCGGAGACUCACGGAAACGCCCCCACGCGGAGGCACACCCGGGCAAAAUCUCCCAGAUGGGAGCUGGGGACGGGGAAGUGGACAAACCCGACAGAUAUAGACACACUCAGGGGCACAGACACACACUCGGGCACAGAGUCGGACACACCUGGGGCUCAGGUAGACACACCUCACAUACCCAGGGAACAAACGGACACACAAACCACACGCCCGGGAUACAGACGUCCAUAAUUGCCAGGGGCACGGAGAGACCACCCACACCCACUCAGAGGCUAGCACACCUUAGCAUAUGCAAGAGUUGCCAUCUGUGCCCUGCGGGGUGGAAUGUGGCAGGGAAGUCAUCAGGGUCUCUGGAGCAGGCCUUGUUAGCCUAGCAGUAUAAUGAGGUCUUGGUGACAGGAGGCGCCUGGGGCUGUGGAUCAGGAGGCCCGUGCACCAGGGCUUAGCUGCCUGCAAGCUUCCUUGACUGGCCCCUAGGGCGGGUGGUGCCGACGUUGGGCCGCCUCUGAGCAGCAGACCCGGCGGACCCCACUGACUCAAAUCGGGCAGUUUGGUGGAGGGAGAGCCUAAAGUGAACACUGGAGCUGCACCAGGAGAUUCUCAGGAUCCCCAACACUGCUGUUGGUAGGGUUUAUAGAGAGGGUCACUCUGUACUCUGCCUUUUCUCCCCGUGCUGCUCAGUCUUCCAACUUCAAGGGGCACGUGUGUGUGUGUGUGUGUGUGUGCGCGCGCGCGCGCUGAGUGGAGUGGGCAGUGGAAGAGGUUGGGGUGCGGGUUGUCUUGUACCCCAGUACCGGCCCUUCCUCGGAUCUGUUUUCAAUUCAGUCUGCUCCUUGGCCCAGACUUAUGACCUUUGCAGCGUGCGGCAGUAUCAUCCAUCACCCGGGCGCCGCUUACGGGAUGGAGGGCGCUGGGAGCUCACAUAGGGUCGCUGUCACGCCUGCCGCCCUCUCUGGGGACCUGCUCUCCGGCCCGCGGGCCAGGGCUUAACAGUCUUGGCAUCCGGGACCGUCAAGGGCAAAGGGAACAGAAAACUGAACCCAGUUCUGCAGAGUCUUCUUGUGUGCCUCCCUACCCCCAUCACACCUCAGCCUUCUGGAAGGGGGGCGCGCCCGUCCCAGGCCCUCCUCUUCCCUAGCCCAGCUGAGCCUCUGCCCUCCCCCCGCCAGCAGCAGAUGGUGCCCGGGCUCCCGCUGCCAACCUUGCUAGGCGGUGCCAACCUCAGUCCUGGCAGACAACGGGCAGACCAGAAGAGGAGCUCCUGGCUGGCCAAGCCGACCCUCCCCCACCCGGCAUCGAGCUCAAGACCCCCCACACACGCCUGCCCCACUCCAGCGACCACCCCAGCCUGCCUCUCACUGGGUCCGCUCUCAGGUCCCCAAACUCCUCGUCUCCUUCUGCUCCCUUCCCCACACCUUCCCGCUCCUCGCCACCUGCCGCCCUGACCAGGGCCGGCCUAUUUGCAUAUUUGCAUAUGCAAAUAAUAACAUUUGCAUACGGCGCUCCGCAGGGGUGUCUCCACGAGAGCCGGUUAGCUGUCUGCCCUCCGUCCUCACUCGGUACCUGUCGGAAAGGGUUAGGGCAGGGGCCGCGCGGGUGGGGUUAGGCCCCCGGCCUAGCUAGCUCGGUUCUCGGAGGACUUGAGGAAGUGUUGCCAUGGAGACGGCACGCACCCCACCCCCUCCCAGGCCCAGGGUCUCGGGCUUGGUGUCUCCGGUUCUCUCCCCUUACCCACCCUCCACCCCCUCCCCAUCCCUCGCUCUCCAACCGAGAUCUUGCAUCGCCCCCUGGCGGCCUAGCUCGGCACCAAGCCAGAUUCCGAAAUGCAAGGGGCUGCCUGUGGCUAAAUCGCCAAGAGCAAGGGGGAACUUACCCUACUACAAGAUCCUGCUCCCAAUCGCUGGGGCGCGGGGGCGGUGACUCCAGCCCUGCCCUCCCCUUUCUUUACUGACUACAGAGGCCUCACCGGGCGGGCGCACUUCCCACCUCCCGCCAACCUCAGCCCAGAUGGGUCUCAGGUUACCCAAUGGUAAGGAGGCGGGACAGCUAGGGAGGAUUCUCCACCCCUCCGCAGGCCCUCUCCUCAACCCCAGUUAAAUAACAACUUUUCUAAGUUUUGUCAAAAGUUUAAUAAAUUUGCAACAUUC